rnacentral:rRNA from 1 species
AGGCAUAAGGGAGCUUGACUGCGAGACCUACAAGUCGAGCAGGGUCGAAAGACGGACUUAGUGAUCCGGUGGUUCCGCAUGGAAGGGCCAUCGCUCAACGGAUAAAAGCUACCCCGGGGAUAACAGGCUUAUCUCCCCCAAGAGUUCACAUCGACGGGGAGGUUUGGCACCUCGAUGUCGGCUCAUCGCAUCCUGGGGCUGUAGUCGGUCCCAAGGGUUGGGCUGUUCGCCCAUUAAAGCGGUACGCGAGCUGGGUUCAGAACGUCGUGAGACAGUUCGGUCCCUAUCCGUCGUGGGCGUAGGAAAUUUGAGAGGAGCUGUCCUUAGUACGAGAGGACCGGGAUGGACAUACCUCUGGUGUACCAGUUGUCGUGCCAACGGCAUAGCUGGGUAGCUAUGUGUGGACGGGAUAAGUGCUGAAAGCAUCUAAGCAUGAAGCCCCCCUCAAGAUGAGAUUUCCCAACUUCGGUUAUAAGAUCCCUCAAAGAUGAUGAGGUUAAUAGGUUCGAGGUGGAAGCAUGGUGACAU